AGAGUUUGAUCCUGGCUCAGGAUGAACGCUGGCGGCGUGCUUAACACAUGCAAGUCGAACGAACCUUCGGGUUAGUGGCGGACGGGUGAGUAACGCGUGAGAAUCUGCCCUCAGGAGGGGGAUAACGGUUGGAAACGACCGCUAAUACCCCAUAUGCCGCGAGGUGAAAUGAAUUUCGCCUGAGGAUGAGCUCGCGUCUGAUUAGCUAGUUGGUGGGGUAAAGGCCUACCAAGGCAUCGAUCAGUAGCUGGUCUGAGAGGAUGAUCAGCCACACUGGGACUGAGACACGGCCCAGACUCCUACGGGAGGCAGCAGUGGGGAAUUUUCCGCAAUGGGCGAAAGCCUGACGGAGCAACGCCGCGUGAGGGAUGAAGGCCUCUGGGCUGUAAACCUCUUUUAUCAAGGAAGAAGAUCUGACGGUACUUGAUGAAUAAGCCACGGCUAAUUCCGUGCCAGCAGCCGCGGUAAUACGGGAGUGGCAAGCGUUAUCCGGAAUUAUUGGGCGUAAAGCGUCCGCAGGCGGCCCUUCAAGUCUGCUGUUAAAAAGUGGAGCUUAACUCCAUCAUGGCAGUGGAAACUGUUGGGCUUGAGUGUGGUAGGGGCAGAGGGAAUUCCCGGUGUAGCGGUGAAAUGCGUAGAUAUCGGGAAGAACACCAGUGGCGAAGGCGCUCUGCUGGGCCAUCACUGACGCUCAUGGACGAAAGCCAGGGGAGCGAAAGGGAUUAGAUACCCCUGUAGUCCUGGCCGUAAACGAUGAACACUAGGUGUCGGGGGAAUCGACCCCCUCGGUGUCGUAGCCAACGCGUUAAGUGUUCCGCCUGGGGAGUACGCACGCAAGUGUGAAACUCAAAGGAAUUGACGGGGGCCCGCACAAGCGGUGGAGUAUGUGGUUUAAUUCGAUGCAACGCGAAGAACCUUACCAGGGUUUGACAUCCUGCGAAUCUCUUGGAAACGAGAGAGUGCCUUCGGGAACGCAGUGACAGGUGGUGCAUGGCUGUCGUCAGCUCGUGUCGUGAGAUGUUGGGUUAAGUCCCGCAACGAGCGCAACCCACGUCUUUAGUUGCCAGCAUUUAGUUGGGCACUCUAGAGAGACCGCCGGUGAUAAACCGGAGGAAGGUGUGGAUGACGUCAAGUCAUCAUGCCCCUUACAUCCUGGGCUACACACGUACUACAAUGCUACGGACAAAGGGCAGCAAGUUCGCGAGGACAAGCAAAUCCCAUAAACCGUGGCUCAGUUCAGAUCGUAGGCUGCAACUCGCCUACGUGAAGUAGGAAUCGCUAGUAAUCGCAGGUCAGCAUACUGCGGUGAAUACGUUCCCGGGCCUUGUACACACCGCCCGUCACACCAUGGAAGUUGGCCACGCCCGAAGCCGUUACUCCAACCCUCGGGAGGAGGAUGUCGAAGGUGGGGCUGAUGACUGGGGUGAAGUCGUAACAAGGUAUCCGUACCGGAAGGUGCGGAUGGAUCACCUCCUAA
rnacentral:rRNA from 1 species